UUUACCAUUUCAAGAUGACCUA
rnacentral:miRNA from 1 species